GUCGACGUAGCUCAACGGAUAGAGCAGUCGCCUCCUAAGCGACCGAUGAAGGUUCGAUUCCUUCCGUCGACA
rnacentral:tRNA from 1 species